rnacentral:rRNA from 1 species
CAGUCGCCGCGGGAAUACGAAGGGUGCAAGCGUUACUCGGAAUUACUGGGCGUAAAGCGUGCGUAGGUGGUGGUUUAAGUCCGUUGUGAAAGCCCUGGGCUCAACCUGGGAAUUGCAGUGGAUACUGGAUCACUAGAGUGUGGUAGAGGAUAGUGGAAUUUCCGGUGUAGCAGUGAAAUGCGUAGAGAUCGGAAGGAACAUCUGUGGCGAAGGCGACUAUCUGGGCCAACACUGACACUGAGGCACGAAAGCGUGGGGAGCAAACAGGAUUAGAUACCCGUGUAGUCCCUGUCUCUUAUAC